CGCUUGUUUAUCAAAAACAUGUCUUUUUGAUUAAAUAAAAAGUCUAGCCUGCCCGGUGAAUUUUUAACGGCCGCAGUAUACUGACUGUGCAAAGGUAGCAUAAUCUAUUGUCUUUUAAUUAAAGGCUUGUAUGAAUGGUUGAAUGAGAUAUUAACUAUUUUUAUUUUAAUAAAAAUGAAUUUUAAUUUUUAGUAAAAAUGCUAAAAUAAAAAAAUUAGACGAGAAGACCCUAUAAAUCUUAAUUUUAUUUUUUAUAAUAUUAAUUUUGAAAAUUUUUAAUAAAUUAUAAAAAUAAAAUUUUAUUGGGAGGAUAAUGAAAUUUAAUAAACUUUUAUUUUUUUUUAUAAAUAUAAUUAAAUUAUUGAAUAUAUAAUUAUAAAAUAUUUAAAAAAUUAAGUUACUUUAGGGAUAACAGCGUAAUUAUUUUAAAGAGUUCUUAUCGAUAAAAUAGUUUGCGACCUCGAUGUUGAAUUAAGAAUUAAUUUAGGUGUAGAAGUUUAAAUUUUAAGUCUGUUCGACUUUUGAAUUCUUACAUGAUCUGAGUUCAGACCG
rnacentral:rRNA from 1 species